rnacentral:lncRNA from 1 species
UAAAGAAGAGUUAAGUUCCUUCUAAUUUCAUUGUCUUAGUCUUCAUCAUCGAUGAUCAUCUUUCUUUUCUGAAGGCGAGAAAACUUUAACUCGGUAAUAUUCAUCACUAAAGCUUCUUCAUCGUCUUCAAGAAUUUUUCGCUGAGUAUAAUUUUGAGAAAAAUUUUGACUUUUUGCUUAUUCAGUUUCUUCAUUAUCUUCAAGAAUAUCAUGUUGAAUAUGAAUUUGAGGGAAAUUCUUGUUUCCAAUUUAUUCAUCUUCUUGUCCAUCAAGUUCCUCAAUUGAUAUGCCUGUGUAGUUGUAAGUAAUUACUUCACAUCUUUUGGCCUCUGCAACUUUAAUAGUUAGUAAUUAAGUAUGAUUUUUUUCAAGCAACUUUCCAAUUUGCUCACAAAUUGGUCAAUAUUAUAUUCCUGCAAAAUUGAAUGACAAAUAAUAAGUAAAUUUAUUAAAUUAUUUUUUGUAUUAUUAUAAUACAUGUGGUACCUUUAACUGCCGAAGUUCAUUAACGUUGCAAUUCAACAGUUACCCCACUUCCUUAUGAAAUAGUGAUACCCAAAGCUCGUCAGUAUCAUCAGCAACUUUUAGACGAAACAUAAACCUGUAAAAACUUAACAAGCACUUAGAUUUUUAUUUAACUUUAACAUAUAAGAAAAUAAUAUUGCUAAUAUUACCUAUAUUCAACAUCAAUAU